UACGUAGGGGGCAAGCGUUGUCCGGAUUCAUUGGGCGUAAAGAGCGUGUAGGCGGCCAGGUAGGUCGGUUGUGAAAACUGGAGGCUCAACCUUCAGAGGUCGACCGAAACCAUCUGGCUAGAGUCCGGGAGAGGAGAGUGGAAUUCCUGGUGUAGCGGUGAAAUGCGCAGAUAUCAGGAAGAACACCGGUGGCGAAAGCGGCUCUCUGGA
rnacentral:rRNA from 1 species